CGUGAUGUGGGGUAGAUUGGGCGUCGUCCUCAUGGUGAUCGGCAAGUUCGUACCGUGAAUCAAACGCAACUAUCACAGCGGAUUCUGGUUCCGCCAAUGGGGGUUCGACUCCCUCCAUCCCAGCCA
rnacentral:tRNA from 1 species